ensembl:lncRNA
GAGCGCACCAGGAAGUCCGGCCGCUCCGAAUCUGUCAUCUGACUUUGACGCAGGCACUCCCGCUUCCGGAAAGUAAACUGCAACCGCGGAAAAAGCGAAACAUGGCUCCCAAACUUGAACUUCCAAGCGCCGCGUUGAUGGUCGGGCUGUUGUUUUUCUCCCUGAUCCCCCCGGCAGAGGCUUACGAUGCCGGGGACGGUCUGGCCCUGCUGCUGUGCACCAUCCUCACGGUGGUGGGUUUCUGUGCCUGCCUCGGCUGGUACGCGCGGAGGCGGAACGGACAGCUGUGACGCUGACGAGACGGGAUUCUCCAGCUGCUACCUGCUACCAACCACCACAUUAUAAUACCAAUUUUGCGUGAUCACUCGUGGACUUUUGUGGCACAGGCUUUGUGUCUUAAAGACUGAUAAGAAACGUGCCUUACUGGGAUUAAUGCGGCAAGUUCAACGAGGACCACGCGGAGUUGAAGAAGGUGGAGCGUAACAUCCAGGAAGCAAACAGGAACUGUUGCUCGUUGCACUGCUGACAUGAUUAUUAUUAAUGAGCAAAAACACUGUUGCCUUCCCUAUGAACAGACUUCUGCAGCUGUAGCAGGCUCCCUAAGAUGCCCACACUAUGUACAUUUUCGCGCAUAUUUUCCAUCUGUCGAGGCGAUUUCCUGACGCGUUGCGCUUAUAGUGACUGUCACUGUUGGAAGCGCAGUGUCACAUGAUUGGAGUGUGUUUUGCAGUUUUGUCACUGUUGCUAAUUAAACAUGUAGAAUAAACGCGACACUUAACAACUUAUGUUCGUGUGUGGAGACGGUGCUUCAUUGCAUUCAGGUUGAACAGAUCCUCCACUAAAUGAACCGGUUAGCAGAUCGGAGAGUAAACAUUGCAAUCUGUCGUCUGCAGCCUGUAUUACUGCUCUGGCGUGCCUGUCACUCCAUGCUGUAACAUAUAUUUGAAGUGUGUUGAAAGUUUAGUGCAGGGAUGUUAAAUACAAGGCCCAGGGGAGCAGAGUUGGCCCAGCAAAGGCUUCAAUCUUCAUAGAUUUUGGACUUAUAUUUGUAUUUUUAGAAGUUUUACAGCUUUUCCUACUUGUAGAAAACUCACAAAUGACCUUCCAUGUGACACCAAGUAAUUAAAUGUACUAUAGAAAUUUUAGUGGGUCAACAGUAACAAUGGAAGUCCAAAGAGUCAUGCUGACAGAUUUCUUUAUCAUGAAGAAAAACUGUGGCAUGCUGUUGAAAACUGCCCCUUAAUUUUCAUAUAUGAAGAUAUGUACACUAUAAAUAAAAUGAGGCUGAUUGUUUAUGUAGUAUGUCACACCAUCAGUCCAUUUUCUACCCAGGACCUUCUUGUUGUGACAAUGCUAACCACCAUGACACCUCUUAUAAUAAUAUAUAGCAUUAUGUGUGUAUAUAUAUUAAAUUCAUUUUGGAAUAAACUAGUGAUGUAAACUAGCUUUACCACCGUAUACAGCCAACAGUUUAAAUUAUUAGGUUAUUAAAUUAGUUUAUUAUGCAGUGAAAUGGGACCUUAUAAAAAUGAAUGCCCUUUAGCAAAUGUCAUUAAUUUAUUUUAAAGGCAAGAAGUAAACUUUGCCUGUAGCUUAAUGUAAAUAUGUCCAUGUAGUAAUGGUGGAUAAGUUACCACACGUGUGAUGUGUGGUUUAAAGGAAAUGUGACUGCUCCAUAAAGGGUUAAAAACUCCCCCCACUCCACAGAUAUCCCUAUUGUACAGAGUUUGUAUCAGUUACCAAUAGCAACAUGCUUCCUUUAUGUUAUGGUAAUUAUUCAUUCAUGAUUCCAACACCAAGGAUUUUUGUAUGUUUGAAGCAUGCAAGUAUGUAAGUCUCCAGCUGUGCACAAUAUUCAGUUGUAAGACUUCUCAUGGCAUCACAUGUCCCCAUACAUGGUUGAGAAAUCAAAUAUCCUAUGAAUUUAUCAUGCUCCCUCAGUGAGGAUGACGACCACUGCAAAGCUGCACUGUGUCUGCAAACAGGAUCAAGCAAUGCUGUGGUCUGAAUCCAGAAAAGGGUCAAAUUGGGUUGAAAUUAAAAUAAUAAGAAUUAA